rnacentral:rRNA from 1 species
UACAGAGGGUGCGAGCGUUACUCGGAAUUACUGGGCGUAAAGCGCGCGUAGGCGGCUUUGCAAGUCGGGUGUGAAAUCCCCAAGCUUAACCUGGGAACUGCAUUCGAGACUGCAUUGCUAGAGUAUGGGAGAGGGAAGUGGAAUUUCCGGUGUAGCGGUGAAAUGCGUAGAUAUCGGAAGGAACAUCAGUGGCGAAAGCGACUUCCUGGACCAAUACUGACGCUCAUGUGCGAAAGCGUGGGGAGCAAACAGG